UAUAUAUAUAUAUAUAUGGAUAUACAAAUAGCCGAUCUAUAUCCGAAUAUCCGAUUCUUUUUGUUAUCUUAUUUAAUUUUACAUAGCAUUUAUGAACUUGUAAGAGAAAUAAAUGAUCACAUCCACAUGCUAUAUAGUAACUUGAUUUAUCAUCUACUUAGUAAUAUUUUUAAUUUUAUGAUCAUAAAGUUUAAUUAUCUGACUUAUAUCCGUAUUUAUAUCCAUACUUUUGGUAUUCGAUUCAUAUCCAUAUCUAUUCAAAAUAAAUAGUAAUAUAAAUUUUAUAUUCGACUAACAUCCGUAUCUAUAUUUGUACUUGUCAAAUAAAACAAACAUGGAUAUGGAUAUACUAGUACAGUAGUACCCGAUUCGAUUACAUCCGUACAUAUAGUGUCAUGCUUGAGUCUUGAUUGACAAUCUAUAGU
rnacentral:lncRNA from 1 species